GAUGAACGCUGGCGGCGUGCCUAAUACAUGCAAGUCGAGCGAACAGAUGAGGAGCUUGCUCCUCUGACGUUAGCGGCGGACGGGUGAGUAACACGUGGAUAACCUACCUAUAAGACUGGGAUAACUUCGGGAAACCGGAGCUAAUACCGGAUAAUAUAUUGAACCGCAUGGUUCAAUAGUGAAAGACGGUUUUGCUGUCACUUAUAGAUGGAUCCGCGCCGCAUUAGCUAGUUGGUAAGGUAACGGCUUACCAAGGCAACGAUGCGUAGCCGACCUGAGAGGGUGAUCGGCCACCCUGGAACUGAGACACGGUCCUGACUCCUACGGGAGGCAGCAGUAGGGAAUCUUCCGCAAUGGGCGAAAGCCUGACGGAGCAACGCCGCGUGAGUGAUGAAGGUCUUCGGAUCGUAAAACUCUGUUAUUAGGGAAGAACAAAUGUGUAAGUAACUAUGCACGUCUUGACGGUACCUAAUCAGAAAGCCACGGCUAACUACGUG
rnacentral:rRNA from 1 species